AGUGAACGCUGGCGGUAGGCCUAACACAUGCAAGUCGAACGGCAGCACAGUAAGAGCUUGCUCUUACGGGUGGCGAGUGGCGGACGGGUGAGGAAUACAUCGGAAUCUACUUUUUCGUGGGGGCUAACGUCGGGAAACUUACGCUAAUACCGCAUACGACCUCCGGGUGAAAGCAGGGGAUCUUCGGACCUUGCGCGAUUGAAUGAGCCGAUGUCGGAUUAGCUAGUUGGCGGGGUAAGGGCCCACCAAGGCGACGAUCCGUAGCUGGUCUGAGAGGAUGAUCAGCCACACUGGAGCGGAGACACGGACCAGACUCCUACGGGAGGCAGCAGUGGGGAAUAUUGGACAAGGGGCGCAAGCCUGAUCCAGCCAUACCGCGUGAGUGAAGAAGGCCUUCGGGUUGUAAAGCCCUUUUGUUGGGAAAGAAAAGCAGCAGGUUAAUACCCCGCUGUUCUGAGGGUACCCAAAGAAUAAGCACCGGCUAACUUCGU
rnacentral:rRNA from 1 species